AAAACAUUCCUCUGAAAAAGAUCCUCUAAUGUUAUAUCUCGCAUGCGCGAAAGUUUGGACCCGCUACGACAACAAUUGUGAUAUGUAUUGUGUGCAAUUAUAUUACUGUUUUCAUAAAUAGACGUUAUCUGAAUGUAUUACAAAGCGAAUACAAAAAUAUUAAGUUAAAGUGAUCAUCAAAAGUGCUCCUCAGUUGUAAGGAGUUAAUAGAGUUGUCAACAGAGCAAGCAAGAAGAAAAAUUACAAAGUACAAGUUAACAGAAUAAAGAAAAGUAAAUAUUUCUCUUCAUGUUUGUACUGAUAUAUAAAAAUGAAACGUCGAGUGAAGCCAUUUGAAAAACUGUCAAGAUGGCAAAAAAAUAGACGUUUAAAUAAUAAUAUUGAAGAUUUUGGUUUGUUGGAAAAGUAUGAUAUUGAAGAAGAUGUUUUAUGUUGUUCAUGCCGACACAUGGUUUCAAACAGUAUCAGAAAUAUGUGAUAUAAAGUGGUGGAUAAAAGUCACAAAAUUAUUCGUUGGCCAUAUGAAAAGAAAUCCGUUACCUUCAAAUGGAUAAAGAAACAAGUACCGUGCAAGAUUGGAGAGAACUCAAUUAUACAUGUUUAUUCGGACCAUUCGAUAGUUAUGAAAGCAGCAUCAAUUUUGAAAAGCAAUGUACAAGGUACUCGUCACAAGACGAAGUGUUGUACGAACAAUACAAGUCAUGAAAUGCUAGAAAAGAGAAUUCGAAAAAAAAUCCAAAGUAUAACACAGAUAGUGACCGAUUAUCUGAAGUUGAAGGUAAGUAUAUAUGGAAAACGUAAUAAUUAGAUCUGAAUGAAUUUUUACAAAUGGAAAGUGUUGAAGAAAUGAAAGAAUUUGAAAACAUAGUUGUAAAUGAAAAAGAAAAACGAGAACAGUUUGUAAGUAUUAUUGACAUAUUACCUACAUAUGUUAAACUUACGGAGAGUAGAAUGUUGUACAAUAUUUCUGUUAACAAUUUGAUACUAGGAAAAUGACAGAAUUUGAGCGAACAGAAAGUGAUGAGACAGACUUUGCAAACAUACAUAAAGAAAGAUACAUUAAUCGAGUUAGUAAAACAAAUAGCAUAUUGCUUAGAAUCUCUUAGUAACAAUAGGAAUCAACUCCCGAACAUUAUUCACUACAUUGUUUUUCGUAACACUAUCAGAUCGUGAAAUGCGGUAUGUAGAGUGCCAAUACUACAUGUUGCAACUAAUUCUCAUUGUUGUAACAAGAUUCUAAGUUGUAAGCCAUAUGUCUUAUACAAAG